rnacentral:lncRNA from 1 species
GAUUUUCCUCUCAUUCAAAAGUCCAUUAAAAGAGUUCAGAUAAUGUGCAAAUGGAAUAUUAAACAAGAACAUAUAAUGUGGGUUCUGUAUAUUUAAUUCUUUAGUUCGUGUAAGAAAAAUUCCAGUCAUUGAAUUGAAGCCAUAUCCUUAUAUACAAUCAUUUAUGUAAUACAUUUAUGUUUUAUUAGUAGAUUUGUUUCAUUCUCUUUUCUUUUUCUUUGUUUUUCCCCUUUCAGUUUCAGUUU